UACUCUUUUUUCCUAUUUUCUUUAUUAUUUCAUGUCGAGCUUUAGAAAGACACUGGGAGGGAGAAUGAACGAUCGACUGCUAAAGAUCUUGAAUAAAGCAUUGAUAGCUUUGCAGAGGAGAAAAACUUUGAUUCUUCUUGAAUGUGUUCCUUGCAUGUUGAAGUGAACAGGGGCGGUACCAACUACGACUAGAAAGCGGCCACUCCUGUCAAUGAAUACCAUUCAUGAUUGUCUAUGUUAGUAACAUAGCCAUAACAACUUUGUUUUACUGCUUGAGGUGGUGAUAACUUUUAUAUAUUUGCUUUAUUAUAAGCUUGCAUAGUGCUCUAUCAAGAAAAAAAUAUAGUAUUUAAGAAUAAUUAAUCAAUGUACCUAUGACAAUGUCAAAUGAUACCUCCUAGUCCUGGUGACCACCCAUUGCAUAAAACAAAAUUUACGUCCCUUCAACCAGAUGACUCUCCCCCUCUACACCUUCCACUUCCUGAAGUGGAUUGAGGACCGAGUCUUGGAGGGAAACUUGAUGAAGCUAAUGAUGAUUCUGUU
rnacentral:lncRNA from 1 species